CAGCCGCCGCGGGAAUACGAAGGGGGCUAGCGUUGUUCGGAUUUACUGGGCGUAAAGCGCACGUAGGCGGAUCGAUCAGUCAGGGGUGAAAUCCCAGAGCUCAACUCUGGAACUGCCUUUGAUACUGUCGAUCUGGAGUAUGGAAGAGGUGAGUGGAAUUCCGAGUGUAGAGGUGAAAUUCGUAGAUAUUCGGAGGAACACCAGUGGCGAAGGCGGCUCACUGGUCCAUUACUGACGCUGAGGCACGAAAGCGUGGGGAGCAAACAGGAUUAGAUACCCCCGUAGUCCCUGUCUCUUAUAC
rnacentral:rRNA from 1 species